ACCUUCACUUCAGUUUGGAAUUCUCGUUCCCCUUGAGAUGCAGCUCCUUCUAGUCUCUUCACAGCUGCAACUUUCUGGGUGCUCGAUAUUAGCCCUUUAUAAACAGUCCCAAAUGAACCUCUGCCAAUUUCUUCCUUGAAACCAUCUGUACUUCCCUCUAGUUCUGUGAAGGUAAAAGAACGAGGACCAACUUCCUCACUUAAUGCAAUAUUCUCAUUUGCAGCUAUCCUUUUAUAUGCGCGGGCAUGAGAUUUAUAAAACAGAACGCCAGAAAUUGCCAACAUAAAAAAUCCGAAAACAACAAUUGAAGCACUGACAAUUAUAAUGCUGUUGCUAAGCUGAUUACUCUUUUUCUUUCUAGGCUCGGUUCUGUCUGUGGUGGAUAUGGAUCUGCCAACCUUGAUCAAAGCGAAGUUUGAGUCACCCACAUCUCUUUUUCCAUAUCUCAAAGGUAGCCUCUGCUUUCUGCACUGCCCAUCAUUGAAAAAUGCAGUGUCACAAUUACAGUCCUGCAAACAAGCUCUCUCACAUUCUUCUUUUAUAGAUAAUGAGAGAACAGAAUACGAAUCAUCUUCCCAUCCGGUAUUGGAAAGUUCUCGAAUUCUGAUGUCUCUAUUAUCAUCUUUGCAACUUCCAGCAGUGAAAUUUCUCUCACAUCCAGCAGUCCAGUUAUUCUGCAUAACAGAUACAAAUCCUGGAAGACAUAUACAAUCUGGUUCCUGAUCAUUUAAAACACAA
rnacentral:misc_RNA from 1 species